rnacentral:rRNA from 1 species
GAUAAGCCUGGGAAACUGGGUCUAAUACCGAAUACACCCUUCUGGCUGCAUGGUCUGGGAGGGGAAAGCUUUUGCGGUGUGGGAUGGGCCCGCGGCCUAUCAGCUUGUUGGUGAGGUUACGGCUCACCAAGGCGACGACGGGUAGCCGGCCUGAGAGGGUGACCGGCCACACUGGGACUGAGAUACGGCCCAGACUCCUACGGGAGGCAGCAGUGGGGAAUAUUGCACAAUGGGCGCAAGCCUGAUGCAGCGACGCCGCGUGAGGGAUGACGGCCUUCGGGUUGUAAACCUCUUUCGCCAGGGACGAAGCGCAAGUGACGGUACCUGGAGAAGAAGGACCGGCCAACUACGUGCCAGCAGCCGCGGUAAUACGUAGGGUCCGAGCGUUGUCCGGAAUUACUGGGCGUAAAGAGCUCGUAGGUGGUUUGUCGCGUUGUCCGUGAAAACUCACAGCUCAACUGUGGGCGUGCGGGCGAUACGGGCAGACUAGAGUACUGCAGGGGAGACUGGAAUUCCUGGUGUAGCGGUGGAAUGCGCAGAUAUCAGGAGGAACACCGGUGGCGAAGGCGGGUCUCUGGGCAGUAACUGACGCUGAGGAGCGAAAGCGUGGGGAGCGAACAGGAUUAGAUACCCUGGUAGUCCACGCCGUAAA